rnacentral:rRNA from 1 species
CUUGUGUUUCAUCCGCAAGUUUCCUUGUUGGUCCAAGGAAAAUCCCAAGUACGAAGUGUGUCUUUGUACUUGUGUUUUUCCUAGGCCCAAUGACUGGAAACGUCUACUAAUACCCUGUAGUCUGAGGAUAAAAAUGAGGAAUCUGUGCGAGGAAGGAAUCGCGUUUGAUUAGCUAGAUAGUGAGGAAAUAGCUUGCUAAUUCAAUGAUUAGUAGCUGCUCCGAAAGGAUGAUCAGCCCCACUAGGACUGAGACACGACCAAGACUCCUAUGGGAGGAAGCAGUGGGGAAUUUUCUGCAACCAUGUGGGUAGAAGGCCCACAGGUUGUGAACUUCUUUUCUCAGAGAAGAAGUAAUAAAGGUAUCUGGGAAUAAGCAUCGACUAAAUCUAUACCAUCAGACGCGGUAAUACAGAAGAUGCAAGCAUUUUCCAGAAUUAAUGGGCGUAAAGCAUCUGCAUGUCGCUUUUUAAGUCGGCCGUCAAAUCCCAAGGCUUAACUCUAGACAGACAGUGGAAAUUAUCAAGUUGGAGUAUAGUAGGGGCAGAGGAUUUUUCGGUGGAGCGAUUAAAUGGGUAGAUAUCGGAAAGAAGACAAACGGCGAAAGCAUUAUGUUGGGCCGACAUUGAGAGACAAAAGUUAGAGGAGAGAAUGGGAGUAGAUAAACCCAAUAAUCCUAGUCGUAUAUGAUGGAUACUAGGUUUUGUGCGUAUAAACCCAUGCAGUGCUAUAUCUAACGCGUUAAGUUUUCCGCCUAGAAAGUACGUCACAAGAAUGAAACUCAAAGAAAUUGAUGGGGCCUCACUCAAGCGAUGGAGCAUGUGGUUAAAUUUUGUUAGGACCGGAAAUAAGCAGGUGUAAAUGCGGAAGCUAGCAAAGCAAACCUCGAAAGACCACGAGUAUGAAGACAACGAGAAAUAUACCAAAAGACACAAAGAUUUAACGUGGUUCGGUCAAUCGACCUACGUCCACAAAGGGGAUGACCAAUCCACUAUAAAUAUGAGAGUACAAAAUACAGAGAGAAACAACCUCAACCAAUUCACUCGGAAUACAUGGGAGGUUCACACAAGUGAUAACGUAUCAAGCUUGUGACCCACAAAUUCUCCCCCUAAC